AGUUAACCUCGGGAACGAUGAAGUUGAUGGCCAUUUUCUCUCAGAAAGAGAAAGAACUCAAAGAUCUUGAGCGCAGUUCUUGAAGUUCUUGAGCAGUGCCGCCACCAGAAAGGAGGAUAUGAGGCUGUAGAAUGACAGGAUGGAAGAAGAGUACCGGAGAAAGAAGUAUUUAUAGGACAAGGAGGAUAGGGGCAAAUCAGACUUAUCUCUUUGCCGCAUCCAUCAAAUUCGAGGGUG
rnacentral:lncRNA from 1 species